rnacentral:lncRNA from 1 species
GAGAAUGAAACAGUACUUUGGAAGGUUGGUCUAGGUAUCACCUUUGAGACAACUUUUAUGUCACAGCAAAAAUGUUGGUGCUAUAAAUUCUUCUGAUUGUUUACUGAUAUUGAGUCUGCUUUUGGUCCAAGGUAUGCAUGAUAUAUGUUAAGUAGUACUUAAAAAUAUCUCUUUAUAAGAACUACUACUUAGUAUAAGUUGAUUUGAUUUGAUGUUAUUUUUACUGUAAACUCAGCUUACUCAAAUUAGAACUUACACCAAUACAUAUUCCACAAGGCCAGUUCAAUGUGUAAGUAUCGAAAUAUAAGCAGUCAUUGUGGGUUGAGGUCAGAUAAUAUAAGUAAUAACCAGUGAAGUUAAUAGGUCCUUCAAAUAUUGUAUAGGUACGCUAAAAUUAUUUCAUCUGGAUAUCGACAAUUUAAGGGACUUCCUUUCAUAUUCACACCAUUUCUCCAAAAUAACUUGGUAUUUCAAAAACUUGGUAAUUGGGCUGAGUGGUGGUAGCUUAACCUUUUUAAUCCCAGCACUUGGGAGGCAGAAGCAGGUGGAUCUCUAUGACUUCGAGGCUAGCCUGGUCUUCAAAGCAAGUUCUGGGACAGUCAAGGCUACCCAAAGAAACCCUGACUCAAAAAACCAAAAAGAAAAAAAAAAAGAAAAAGAAAGAAAGAAAGAAGCCAGAAGAUAAUCAUGUGGUUGGUGGGACUCUUCGUGAUCGUGAACAGAUCAUGUGGUUUCAUCGCAGGUGCAAAGUGGGGAGGUCGCGUACCUGAAAAUGUACGUUUGUGUUUGAUGUAUUUUUUCACAUUUUGUGAACAAAGCACAUUUAUUAAAAAAUUUAAAUUUUCUAAU